GACGUAGGGGGCCAGCGUUGCUCGGAAUUACUGGGUGUAAAGGGUUCGUAGGCGGUGUGGCAAGUCGGGAGUGAAAUCUCUGGGCUCAACCCAGAGUCUGCUUCCGAAACUGCUGUGCUUGAGUGUGGGAGAGGUGAGUGGAAUUCCCAGUGUAGAGGUGAAAUUCGUAGAUAUUGGGAAGAACACCAGUGGCGAAGGCGGCUCACUGGCCCGUAACUGACGCUGAGGUGCGAAAGCGUGGGGAGCAAACAGG
rnacentral:rRNA from 1 species